rnacentral:lncRNA from 1 species
ACAGAGGAACAGACGGAGGUCAGUGAGGUCCACAGGGCAACAUGCGUCUCAGCUACUCGGCAGGUCGUCCUUAUCUGCUGCUCAGUGUGCCCUUCACUUCAGUCUUGAAGACUCACUCACACCAGUGGGAACUCCCGGUACUGUGCCCAGUGCAGCUGGGGCGGACACUCCUGUUGUGUCCUGGGUGCCGGCCUCUGGAAGCCAGCUCGCCACCGUUGGGUAUAAAGACAGCUGUGGAUGCGGCUCCUUUUGGGGAGGAUCUGUAUCCCUAAAAUAUUUUAAGGAAGGCCACAUUUAUUUCUUUUCUUUCUUUCAUUUUUUUUUUGAGAGAGAGAGAGAGAGAGAGAGGGAAUUUUAAUAUUUAUUUUUUAGUUUUCGGUGGACACAACAUCUUUGUUUGUAUGUGGUGCUGAGGAUCGAACCCGGGCCUCACACAUGCCAGGCGAGCGUGCUACCGCUUGAGCCACAUCCCCAGCCCCACAUUUAUUUCUAAUUGUGUUUUUGUCGUGAUCAAGUGUUUCAACUUUAUCAAAUGCUUUUCCUGACUGUGUUGAUAGGGUUGUUUCAUUUUUCACUGUGGACAAGGUAGACCUAUGUUGAUAAAUUAAAAAAUAUUUAACAAGCCUGAAUUCUUGGAGUGAAUCCUACAGAGUCAUGGUGUUUGAUUCCUUUUACAUAUUGAUGAAUUCUAUUUGCAAAAGUUUUGUUAAGGACUUUUGCAUUUAUAUUUGUGAUUAAUAUUGGUUUGUAGUGCUUUUAAUACUGCAUUUGUCUGGGUUUGGUGUUGGGGUAAUGCUAGCUUCAUAAGUAGAAGUGUUCCUUUCUAUUUUCUGGAUGAACUUUAUGUAAAAUUCCUAUGAAAACUUCCUUUAAUAAGUUUUCUCUCCAGUGAACCAUCUGGGCUUGGAGAUUUCUUUCUUUCAGGGGAGAAAGGGAGCUUUUAAAUUAUGCAUUCAGUUUCCUAAGCAGUUGCUCUGUGUUAUCUGAGUUGCUAAAUGUCUAUAGGGGUUGUUGGUUUUAAUCUUUGGGCCUUUUAAUGUCAAUGCAAUUUGUAGUGAUGACCCUUAUUUUCUUCUGGAUCCUAGAGAUUUGUGUCUUAUAUAUUUUUUUCCUUAUCAGAAUUUCUAGAAGUUUGUCAGUUUUACUGAUAUUUUAGAGAAUCUUCCCUUUGUUUCAUUAAUUUUCUCUUUCGCUUUUUUGUUUUAAUUUCAUUUAUUUGUUUUGUGUAUAUUUUGCUCUUUUUCUCCCAGGCUCUUGAGAUAGAAGCUUAGAUUGAUUUGAGAUUUUUCUUUCUUCUAUCGAUGCAUUUAUUGCUACCAUUUUCCCUCAGUAAACUGCUUUGACUUCAUCUCCCAGCUGUUGAUAUGUUGUAUUUCCAUUUUCAUUCAGUUGGAUGUAUUUUUCAAAAAUCCCUUGUGACUUCCUCUUUGACUUAUUAGAAGUGUGUUCUUUAGUUUCCAAGCAUUUUGAGAUUUUCAUCAUGGGUUUCUAGUUUGAUUCCAUUUGAGCUGGAGGCUGCUCUCUGUGACUUCGAUCCUUUUGGGUUUGGUGCAGUUGUUUCAUGGCUCGGGAUGUGGUCUGUCCUGGGGCAGGUGUGUGGGCAGUUGAGUGGAGAGUACUAUGAACGCUGAGCAGAUGCUGUUGGUUGAUGGUGUUCAGUUCUUCUACCUUCUUGUUUAUUUUCUAGUUGUGCUAGAGGAUUAGGAAGUCGAGUGUUUUCAGCUGUACUCAGGAUAAUUGCAUCGUGCUAAGCAGAACGAAUCUCUAGAAACUCUUUGAAGUAUUACCUUGGCUGUUUCUAGAGUAAAUAAGCAUGUGAGUUUGAGGGGACUAGGUGGGGAAGAUGUACCCUCCAGGUGGGCAGGAACCACCCAAUGGCUCAGGACCCCAGAGGGAAGAACACAGAAGGGGAGUUGGUCUCUCUGAGAGCUGGGCCCAUUUUCUUCUACUGCAUAGACAUCAGAACUCCAGGUCACUGGUCUUUGGACUCUAGGACUUACACCUAUGGUCCCUGAGUACUCAGGCUUUUGGCCUCUGAGAGUUGCACCAUAACAUCCGUGGUUCAGGCUUUGGGACUUGACCUGAGGUGUCCCAGGGUCUCCAGCUUCCAGAUAACCCCAGUCGUCAAGCUGGUGCCCACAGUUGCCAACAGGAGUGACAUAUGUUUCUACCCUCUGCUGUUUGGCCUGUUUCCUUAUGAAUAUGAUCCGUUGCUCUCAACUGUUACACCUGUAACUGGCAUUAGUAUACCUGAGUGCUUAGUCUUACAAAAACAUGUUAUUUAUUUUAUUAUGUAAAGUACCAUAUGUGUUCUGUUGUGCUUUUAUGUUUUUUGAAUUUCCUUUAAAAAUGUAAACAAAUGUCUUUUAAAGGAUAAUUUUUUUUCCCCAAAAUUUCUUUUUUUCUUUUAAAGUAUGAUUUUGGUGUUUUGGGAUUUCAGCAUCUAGGACGAUGGCAUUCUGGAUUGUGUCUUUCAGAAUUGUGGCCCAAUCCUCUUUCAAAAUCAUCUUUCUUUGCUGAGACUCUUUUUUUUUUUUUCAUUCUGAUGCUGGGAUUCGAACCCUGUACGUCACACACCCCCAGCGAGGGCUGUUAUUCUGAGAUGCAUCUCUUUGUUGGGAGUUUUUUAUUGGUUUCUACUGUGUUUGCAAUUGUUUGUUAAAGUAUUUUUAUGGUGGCCGUUUUAGAAUCUUUGUCAGACAAUUCCAGUCUCUGUCAUAUUAGUGUUGGCAUCUGCUGUCUCCCUGGCUGAGAGGGUGAAUAGUGACUCAUUAUCCUCCCCGUGUGGCCUCAACUGACACCGCUGGUUGGGAGUGGCCUCCUUGCUGCAGGGUUGUGGUGAGAGUCUUAACUCCACUCUUCUAUGAGGCUCCCUGAGCAGAGAUGGGGAGGCCGUGUUACUGUGAAUUGGGGUGGAGGUCCAGGCUCCCCAGGUCUGCAAUGGCGCCAUUCAGGGGAUGGGGAGCAUCAAACCACUUGUGGGGAUGAAGUCCCAGCUCCCACACCACCUUCUCUGACUGCACCUGAGGGGGGCUGAGCCCUCUUGCAGCCUGGGAGGGGAAAUCCAGGCUGGCGUGGGUGGUGACUAGGCCACAGUGUCGUCUGUGGCGUUGGGCUGGAGUGGGGUGGUUAUUGUCUGAAGGUUCUGUCUUGCUAGACUGUCUUUUCCUGGCCCUUUGACUGUGGAGGGUGGACUUUUGUUGAGGCUGAUUUUGUUGGUGCCCAUUGGUGUUUCCAGCCUGUAAGCUUGUUGAGCUCCAAACCUGGGACAUACGGAGCAAAAAGUCAACUCCUCAUCAUUUUGUGACUUGUCUGCAUCCUUAUCAGCACCUCAGAAUCUUCUUAUAUCUGAAUUUAUUUUAUCCAUAAUGUCCAGGGGUUUUUGUUUUUAGUAGAAGGAAUGGGGGGGGCGUGCCUCUCCUUCCUCUUUCCCUCUGUGCAACUUCUGAUAUCACAUUUCCAUGAGAGACUUGCUCCUCUUAACAAACUCGCAACACAUCCCAAUCUAUUGUAUUAUUAAUUUUGCAAACAUGAUCAGGAUCCAAAGACAAUAAAAGCAUCCCUGAAGGGGCGGUGUUCUGAACACGGCAUCCGAGCGCACUGAGCUUGCAACCGACUUGCUCCUGGCUGGUCACUGGAAUAUAUCUGCCCCGCCCCCACUUUCUUCUUAGAGAUCCACACUGGGGGACGUGCUACUGCCCCGGGCUUCAGUGAGAUUAGCAUCUGAACAUGUUGCUGAACAGAGCUACUAUUUCUACACCAACUGAUUUAUAUCAGGAAACCUACCCUUGACAGUUCUUAAAGGAGCACAGCCAGCCGAUUCAUGCACACCCAACCUGGCAGCCUUGAGUUACUGGAGAGGCAAGUCAUCCUGUAAAAAAGGUUACUGUGAUAGGUGUGGGGUCAUGGAGGUGCUGAAGAUGGUAAAGAAGUGCCCCCACCUAAGGAUUCAGUGUCUGUCCAGAGGGAGAGGAUGCAAGGGCUGGUUGCAGGGCAGUGGGAAAGGAGGAAAGAAAGACCCAGAGGUGCCAGAGGGAGAUGUCUGCUGGCAGUGCAGGAUGAAGGGGACAGACGGGCGCUGGCAAGGUGUUGUGGAGAGGUGAGGAGCACCGGGGCUGCAGUGUGGGAGCCUUGAUGGGGCGGGGGACCAGCAGGUGCAGGAGCUGUGGAGGAGGGUCCCUGACCCAAGGAGGAGGGAGCGCCUGUGGGCUGCGGCAACAGACGUGGCUGGAAGGUCUGCGGAUUUUGCCAACUUUGAGGGCCAUUGUUCUUUGGGCUUUGUUUUGUACCUUUGAAAUAGUUAAUAAACAUGCGAAGGCAGGUGUUUGUCAGUUUUCCUGCUGCUAUGCCUAAAAGACCCAACCAGAACAACGGUAGAGAAGUUUAUUUACUUGAGGGGUCACAGUUUCAGGGGUCUCAGCCCAUUGGCUCCUUUCCCCGGGCUCCAGGGGAGGCAGAACAGUAAGGCAGGAGAGUGUGGCCGAGGGAAGCCACUCACAUGAUGAUCAGGAAGCAGAGAGACUCCACUGGCCAGAUACAAAUGUACACCCCCAAGGCACGUCCCCAAUGCCACCUCCCCAGCCACAUCCCACCCAGUUAAUCCUGUCAGGGAACAAUUCACUGAUUGGAUCAAGAUUCUCAUGGCCCAAUCAUUUUUCCUCUGAACCUCUUGCAGUGUCUCACACAUGAGCUUUUGGGGGACACUUCACAUCCAAACCAUAGCAGCGAGGCUAGGAAGAUGAGCCGGAGGGGAAACCUGUGAUCCACAGAAGGUGGUGAACCUCCAGAGGCACUGCCAAGCCUGAGCAUAGGAGCUGCGAGGGUGGAAGGUGUCUGCCCACCGGGGGAGUGUCCCACCCAAGAAUCCAGGCUCAGUGCAGAGUUACAGUCAGUCUGAUAUUCCUAACUGUGGUACAGUAGCCACAGAGCUGUGACCAGGCACCGUGGUGGCCUCCUGAAGGAUGGGCUUCCUCUUGUGGAAGGGUAGGGCAUGUUGGCUGGACACCCACUGGGCUAGUCAGGUUGUUUGAGGACCUGAGCAUUCAGUUGGUGAUUGGUGGAGAUGGUCUCCUGGGUCCCUUUUAGUCCCAAGAAUCUAUGAUUCAUAUUUACUAAUAGACCAGUGACAAUUGUGUUGGCAUCAGACGCUGCUCUCUCCUGGCCAGCCCUGAGGGACGUGGAAAUGGCAGUUUUUAUUAUUAUUUUCACUGCGUGUCUUUUCCAGCGCAGGGUGCUUCUGUAAGCCCUGCUUGGAAUCUUCAGCCUCUCCAAGACUGCAGUCCUCCCUUCAGCAGUGACCUGGAGACCUGCUGGGGCUCAGCGGGGUACAUGGGCCUUCCCCAGGAACCCAGGAGGGGCCACGUGCCCCCAUGCACCCCACGCACGUCCAGGUGGACCCUGGGCCAUUCUCUCCCACUGCAGACUCACUCAGGGACUUCAGAGCGGAAAGGCGUUCAGGCCUCCAGGGGAGAGGACAGAGGCAGGCGCCUACCAGGCUGAACCCAAGGGCUUCCUGGCUAUUUUCUUAAAUAUGCCUUCUCUCUCCUCUCCCCCAGGGAGAGCCAGGCCGUGCCUUCUGGGUGACUCACUCCAAGAUCUAUCCCCUGGGGUGCUGGCCAAAUGGCUCUCAGCAGCCACCAAAACAAAGCCUCCUUUUCCAACAUUGACCAAUGCCUGCCAUGGCUGAUUUCCAGCCUCCAGUGACUGAAGAACCAGCUCACAGACUGCCAGCCUGUUUCCCCAUCCGCUCUCGUGAGCUGCACGCCCGGGUUAAUUCCGCCUGAGCCAAGCCCUGCUGUCUUUCUCUCGGACAUCUGGUGACCAGACGUGGA